rnacentral:lncRNA from 1 species
CUACCCCACACAGUCCUUUGCGAUUUUCCUCUCCCACUUUGGGAGCCAGUGGAUGAAGAGGGUGGAACCAUAGAAUAGAAGGAACCCAGAUACAGAUCACUGUUCAGAGGAGAGCUGCCUGCCAGUCAGGAAGACCCAUUUUGGACUUUAUAAAUGCUCUGACCUUAAAAGGAAUAUUGGAGGCAGGAGGAAACAGAGGAAGCAAGAAGAAUUUCCUGGAAGGUAAUUAUUGUAAUAUAAGCAUACUUCGGAGAUAUUGCAGGUUCCGUUCCAGACCACUGCAACAGUGAAUAUCUCAAUCAACAUCUUCACCAGGAGUAGAUUUUAUCUUAAGAAGCCACUUUCUUUGCUCAUCCAGAAGCUACAACUCCUCAUCAUGAGAUUUCAGCAGUUCAGUUCCAUCUUCAGGCCCUAUUUUUAGUUCUCUUUAGUUCUCUUGCUAUUUCCACGACAUCUGCAAUGACUUCCUCAACUGAAGUCUUGAACCCCUCAAAGUAAUCCAUGAAGGAAGAUGACCACGGCCCCUCUGUUCCCUCGCCUGUGUGCCAAAUGGAUCCACAGCUAGAGACAAGCUCCUUCCCUUUGAACGGUGGGAAGCAGGCCAAGAUGUUUUAAAGACAGAUGGCAUCAGAUGCAGAGAAGCAAGCUGGAACUCGGAGCACAGCUGCCUUAUUUACUUACCUACUGGCUGCAUUUCUGAGAACCAGUUUUAUUCCUGUUCAAAGGAAGCCAGGCAGAGUUGGGAAAAUAUUUUCCUAGCCAGCUCCUUAGCACCACUGUCUGAGGGAAACCAUCUGGCCAAGAUGCCCUUCAAACUUCUUCUCGGCGCUGCAUUUUGAAUUGUUUCUACUAGUGUAUCUUGAAGUUUACUAAGCUUUUCUUCUGGAGUGUCUAAGAUGCUGUUCAUCUCGGCCAGUAUUUUUUCAUCUGUAGAAUUUAAUUCAGUCUUUUUUUAUGUUCUCCAUAUCUCUCCUUAACAUGCUCAUACAUUCUUCUACCUUUGUGAACACAUGGAGUAUAUUAUCACUUUUUAAUAUUCUGCUCCGCAUAAUUCUAGCAUCUGUAUCAUUUCUGUUUCAGUCAAUUUAUUUUUCUUCUUAUUCUGGGUCAUAUUUUCUUUU